rnacentral:rRNA from 1 species
UACGAAGGGGGCUAGCGUUGUUCGGAAUUACUGGGCGUAAAGCGCGCGCAGGCGGUCUUCCAAGUCAGUGGUGAAAGCCCGGAGCUCAACUCCGGAACUGCCAUUGAAACUGUGAAACUUGAGGACGAGAGAGGUGAGUGGAAUUCCCAGUGUAGAGGUGAAAUUCGUAGAUAUUGGGAAGAACACCGGUGGCGAAGGCGGCUCACUGGCUCGUUUCUGACGCUCAGGCGCGACAGCGUGGGGAUCAAACAGG